rnacentral:miRNA from 1 species
UGACUAGAUCCACACUCAUCAC